rnacentral:rRNA from 1 species
AUGGGCAAAAAUCAGGGACUCGAGAAGGCAAUUAGAAAAUUGGCUGAGCUCCUCACAGCCAAGGUAGGAGCUGCAACGCCUCCAAAUAAUGCAAUUGUUCCUCACAUUGAGCCAAUUCAGAAAAUUGACUUGAUGCCAAAUGAAAUUAAGCUGGAAGGUGUCAAGAAUUAUUUGAGCUGGUCAAGAAGGGCACUACUCAUCUUUAGGACUAAAGGGUUUGAGGGCUUUGUCAAUGGUGAGGCAGAGGAGCCAGGAGACAAGAAAACUGCAUAA